CAAAUGGCACUGAUGUUUCAGUGAGCACAGUAAAGCACAUACUAAAUACAGAAGGUUUCCAUGCUAGAACUCCAAGACGUACACCUCUACUGACAAGAAAGAUCGGCUCCAAUAUGCUCAAAAUCAUGUAAUCAAGACACAGAAGUUUAAAGAUUCUGUUCUGUGGAGUGAUGAAACAAAACUGGAACUUUGCGGUCUGGAGGAAGAAAAAUCAAGCAUAUGCUGAAAAUAUCACUCUGCCUUUAAGCAUGGUGGUGGCUCGAUGAUGCUUUGGGGCUGCUUUGCUUUCUCUAUCAAUGGAAAUCUGCAGAGUGUGGAAGGUAAGAUGGGUUCACUGAAGAAUCAGGAAAUCCUGGGAGAAAACAUCAUGCUGUCUGUGAGGAAAGUGAAACGUGGGCAUCAUUUAACCUUCCAACAAGAUAAUGAUCCCAAGCAUACCUCAAAUUUCACCAAACCUUGCUUGGCGAAGAAUUCCUGGAAAAUUCUACAGUGGCCGUCACAGUUGCAGCACGCAAAUGCAAGAAUAUUACUGAACUGGAGGCCAUUGCUCAUGAGCAAUGGGCUAAGACGUCUCAGGAACGCUGCCAGAAGCUGGUGUCUGGCUAUGAAUCUCAUUUACAGCAGGUCAUAAUAGUAAGG